rnacentral:rRNA from 1 species
AUGCCGGCGCCGGCCCUCCCCCUCCUCCUCCUCCUCGCCGCCGCCGUCGCCACCGCGUCCGCCGCCGUCCCGCCCGCCGCGUCGCACUCGCAGCCGACGCUGCCCACGAAAGGGGCGGGCGCGGGCGCGUCGCACUCCCAGCCGACGAAGCCCGCGGCGCCGCCGUCCGCCGCGCUCGCCUCGGCCCCGCCGGCCGAGGGCGCGCUGCUGGCGGCCUUCCUCGCCAAGGCCGACCCGACGGCGCACCUGCGCUUCCCCCUCGCCUCCACCCCCUGCGCGCACCCGGGCGUGACCUGCGGCGGCGCGGCGGGGAUCACGCACCUCGUGCUCGAGCAGGCCGGCCUCAACGGCACCUUCGCGCCGGACACGCUCUCGGGCCUCGCCGGGCUGCGCGUGCUCAGCCUCAAGUCCAACGCGCUCCACGGGCCCGUCCCCGACCUCUCCGCGCUCGGCAACCUCAAGGCGCUCUUCCUCGCCGGCAACCGCUUCUCCGGCCCGUUCCCGGCCUCGCUCGCCUCGCUGCGCCGCCUCCGCUCCAUCGACCUCUCCGGGAACAGGUUCUCCGGCGCGCUCCCGCCCGGCAUCGAGGCCGCGUUCCCGCAUCUCACGGCCCUCCGCCUCGACUCCAACCACUUCAACGGCUCCGUCCCCGCCUGGAACCAGUCGUCGCUCAAGCUGCUGAAUGUCUCGUACAACGACUUCUCCGGCCCCGUGCCCGUCACCGCCUCCAUGGCGCUCAUGGGCGCCGACGCGUUCGCCGGGAACCCCGGCCUCUGCGGCGAGGUCGUCCGCCGCGAGUGCAGUGGCUCCCCCCUCGUCUUCUUCCCCGGCGACGGCAGCAGCGGCUCCGCCACUCCCCCCGCGCAGAGCGCCGGUGCCACUGGCGUUGGCCCGCAGCGCCAGGGCUUACCGGGCUCGUCGGCACCACGCGGGCACAAAGUGAAGAAGAAGACGGCGAUGACUGUCGCGAUUGCUUUGGCAGCCGUCCUGGCCGUGCUUCUCGUUUGCGCCAUAGUUGCCGCAACGAGGGGCAAGAAGCGUAGGCGGCCGAGCACGGCGGCAUACCCGAGCCCCAAGAAGAGCGCGGCCGCCUCGCAGCUCAGCAGGGAGAUGGACAACGCCGACAUUGGCUAUGUGGAGUGUGUGCCGGACGAGGAGGCGGCGGCGAUGAUGAUGCCGGAGGAGAAGGCUCGCCGGCUGGGGCGGAGCGGCUGCCUAACGUUCUGCGCGGGCGAAGCCACCAGCUACAGUCUGGAGCAGCUGAUGCGCGCGUCGGCGGAGGUGCUCGGCCGCGGGAGCGUGGGGACGACGUACAAGGCGGUGCUCGACGGCCGGCUCGUCGUCAUCGUCAAGAGGCUGGACGCGGCCAAGAUCGGCCCGGCGGCUUCGGAGGCAGAGACCUUCGAGCAGAACAUGGAUGUGAUUGGCCGGCUGCGGCAUCCGAACCUCGUUCCGCUGCGGUCGUUCUUCCAGGCCAAGGAGGAGCGGCUGCUGGUGUACGACUACCAGCCCAACGGCAGCCUCCAUUCUCUCAUCCACGGUUCAAGAUCGUCCCGGGGAAAACCGCUGCACUGGACUUCAUGCCUGAAGAUAGCAGAAGAUGUUGCACAGGGCCUUGCCUACAUUCAUCAGGCAUCUCGGCUUGUUCAUGGAAACAUCAAGUCCUCCAAUGUGCUGCUUGGUUCAGACUUUGAGGCUUGCCUCACCGACAACUGCCUGUCAUUCCUUCUGGAAUCAGCAGAAGUCAAAGACGACGCCGCAUACAGAGCACCAGAAAACAUGAAGUCCAACAGAAGGCUAACCCCCAAAUCAGACGUCUAUGCUUUCGGCAUCCUUCUCCUUGAGCUCCUUAGUGGCAAGGCACCGCUCGAGCACUCGGUCCUGGCAGCAACCAAUCUCCAGACCUAUGCGCUGUCGGGGAGGGAAGACGAAGGAGUGGACAGAGAGCGCCUCUCGAUGAUCGUCGACAUUGCGUCUGCCUGCGUCCGGUCGUCACCGGAGAGCCGGCCAACUGCCUGGCAAGUCCUCAAGAUGAUUCAGGAGGUGAAGGAAGCAGAUGCAAUUGGCGACAAUGAGGACGGCGAUCUUACUAGUGACUCCUAG